CAGGCCUAACACAUGCAAGUCGGACGGGAUUGAAGAGCUUGCUGGUCCUGAGAUUGGUGCACCGGUGCAUAACACCUAUGUAAUCUACACUUAACCAGGGGAAAUAGCCUCUCGAAACGAGAUAUUAACACCGCGAUAAAAUCAUGUAUAUAGCCAUUGUAUGAGUGAUCAAUUAUAUAUAGGGUAAAGAUAGGCAUGCGCGAACAUUAGCUACAUGGCGGGGUAGCUGUCCACACAGGGAUACGAUGUAUAGGGGAUCUGACAGGAUGGCCCCCCACACUGGUAGUGAGACAGGGAGCAUACUCCUACGGGAGGCAACACUAAUGAAUAUAGGUCAAUGGGCUAAAGCCUGAACCAGGCGUGCCGAGUGCAUGAAGACGGGCCUACUGGUAGUAAACUG
rnacentral:rRNA from 1 species